UACACCUCCUACGAUGCACAAAUUAUUGUGAUGUCAACCUCAGAGAAAUGAAUGAUGAAAUUAGAAAAAAACAUACCUAACAUUGAUAUAUCUGUUCUUCGGGGUAUGACACAGAUUUUGGACCCUUCUAUCACAGUUGUUGAAUACAACAAGAAGCACAUCGAAUCAAUUGCAUGCUGGUGGGAUUCUUAUCAUUGUGAUUUUGAUGAUAGCAAUCUUCAGAAUGUUAUUCUGAAAGUGAAUGACUGAAAAAAAUAGUACAUUUUUCAUAUAAUUGGUGGAAAUUCAAUGCGGAUAUUCAAACAUUUAAAUCAAAUUUUAAUUAAUUAGAAAUCACUGUGUCUUGUUGUUUAACUUCUUUUAUAUUCUUUACUGAAGGAGUGUGAAUAUGAUUGAUAAUAAAUGCAUUGUGUAAAGU